rnacentral:tRNA from 1 species
AGUUAAUUAACUUAUAUAAAAGUUUAUAUUUUGAAAAUAUAAAAAGGUUAGGUUAACCAUUAACUU